AUACCUGCCCUUUUUCCAUGUUUCCUCUGACCAUUUCUUAUUUAUUUGAUUUUCUGUUGAUGUUAAAUGCUGCAAUUAAUGAUUUUCUGUUGAUGUUAAAUGCUGCAAUUAAUGGAGCCCUAUAUUUAGCCUAAUACGCGGACAUAUGCAAUGCAUGUAUAGGUUUAUGAUUCAAUUGAAAUACUGUUUUUAUAUCAUAAAAAUUAUUGGAAUUGAAACAAGUUCUAGGCUAUUUUUUAUGCCACAACUAUUUAGCGUUAGAUUCAAAUAUCUUAGCAUAGAAAGGGUCUUAUUCCUUUCCUGUGUCUGGAUAGAAUUUAUCUCAAGAAAGCAUACCUUGAAGUAAACUUGCAAUUUGACAAUUUGCUGAGAGAAUGGGAAACAAAGUGUUUGUUAACAAUGGUCAAUUUGAAAAUUUUUUAUUUGGAACAUUGAUCAUUGUCUAUAAAUGCUUUCCUCAUCUUUUUCAGUUAUACCUGCACUCACUUAGUGUAUAAAGACAUUAUUAUAUAAGAAUAUGCAAUUGCGAUGUAAAACUUGUGACCUAGUUGAAGAAGUGAUAAAUUGGUAUAGAGUGGUAUUUUGAAUUACUAAAUUAAAAUGGAAAGUAAGCCUUUUAUGAGAAUUACUAGCUGCUAAUUUUGUAGAUGAGAGUAAUCUUAGUGUGGCUUGUGGGCACAAGUCCCUUAGUGGCAGAUGCAAUGUACAAGAAAACUGAAGGGCACAAGUGUUGGCAAACCAAACAGAAAUGGCUUAGGCCAUUUUGUUAAUGAAGUUCCCAGUUCAAUAUGAAGUUCUUCCUGUUUGUUGAUCCACACUCCUGGACUUGUGAUUCUUAACAUGAUAUUAGAGCAGCAAGGCCUCAAUGCAGUAUUUCUAGGAAGGCAAGCACGUAUUGGGUUCAGCCCCAAUGAGCCAGACUUGUGAGCUGAACUAAUUGAGCACGACGUAAAUGGGUCCAUGGCUAGCCAAAUGAGCUAAACCUUAAGGCAGAGCCAAGAGUAGCUAUUACCAAGUGAUGCAUGCACAAGAGCAUUACUUUUCAACAAACUGAGGCACACAAGAGUUCAAAAAAUCUUCAAACAUACAAGUUAUGAAACUCGAAACCAACUUCUGAAUCAUCCAAUAUCAUAUUAUCAUAUGUGGAGAAAGGUAUUCGAGAUGAGAACUAUAUUUGGGAACCAUGAGAGAAUAAGGAAAGAAGCAACACACUCUUCAACACAUAUAGAUGCGCAAUACAAUUUCAGAUCGCGUAAUGCAUAAGCUAAAUUCAUGCAGUCCUGUGAGGAAGAAGAUUUCUCCAAGACAAUUCAGCAUAUGGAGUCGGUUCUGGUGGCAGCGCUUCAGAGGGUCGCCGAUCGGAGGCCGGCGAGAUUGGUGGGCAGUGGGCUAGAUGGUGAGACCAACUUACUUCCAGAAAGUCUCCAAACGAAGGUGGCAGAUCUGCCACUUAUAGUUAGGCCAAGUUUCUUGGCUCUAAUACCAUGAAACAGAGAUGAAAAAAGAGAGAGAAGCAGAGAA